rnacentral:lncRNA from 1 species
UAAUUUAUUUUGGAGACAGGGUCUUGCUAUGUAACCCAACCUGGCCUCAAACUCAUGAUCUUCCUCUGCUACCCGAGUGCUGGGAUUAUAAGUGUGCAGUACCACGUCUGGCUCACUUUAUUAAUUUAUAAAAAAUUCGAUUUUAAUUCCCUCUUCUUGCUUUUAGUACUUGGUGUCUCUGAUCCAGGACAACCUAGGAUGGAUGUGGGUUUUCUACUUUUUCAUUCUCAUGACAAGUUGUACGAUUCUGUUUAUCUCACCAUUAAUAGCGAGAGAAAUAUUCUCUCUUGUGCAAAGGAGACAAGCUCGCAUAUUGAGUGACUGAUAUCUACACAAAGAAAGGACAGUGGGAUACGUGAGACUAUUAGUUCUUUCAUUCGCCUUUGGGGGUAGUUUAAGAGCACCAAGAUAACCUCAGCUAGUCAGGCCUCCUUCAACACUGCCAGCCCCUGAGACACUGGCCGGCAGCGAAGGCCAGGUGAUUUUCUACACUACGUGAAUUACUGAUGAUUUUUGUUGUUUGUGAAUGUACUGAACAGCGUGUAAACUUGCCAGCACCCUUGUUUGGUCUGUUGAGGUUUAUCCCUCUAACCUUAAGUGUUGUACUGGCCGUGGACCCUUGUUCUCCAGCCUCAAGAGGUGAGUGAACAGGAGGCAGAGCCUGUGUCGCUGAGGAAUGGAAGGCAUUUUGCUUGGUAAUGAGUUUGCAGAGAGUGGAUUGCCUUUGAGGUGUCAGAUACCCAUAAAGAGCUCCAGCUGGAAGAAACUACAAGCCUGCCCUGGACAGAGACACUUUUACUAACAGAGGUGACCACACCGUGUGCUUGUUGGCCUGGUCACUGUCUCAUCUCAAAUCACUGUCAGCUUGUUCUCCUGUGACUCCACUCACAAUGAGUUCGAUUCCUGGAGUUAUUUAGUCUUCCUUUGAAGGACCACUGGCACACAGUUAUCUUGAACAUUCUAGUGUGGAGCUCACAACCCCGGAUUCGAGGUCUGGGAACGUUCACGGCCUCUGGGAAGCUACUCUGCAUUAGCCCUGUUCUUGGAGGACUGAUCUCUGCACAACCAGGUUCCUGGAAUUACCUCAGCAGAAGACUAGAGUUAGGGGAAAGGCAAAGACACGUGGGGUGUGCUGUUGAAUCAUGUUAAUCCAUCUCUGUGGCCUGGGGCACGUCACCUCUAGAAGAUUGUACAGUAUGCCUUCAAAGGCUGUGAAAUUGUUAUUAAUCAAUAUUUUAAGGUCAUUUUGUAUGUAUAUUUUGAAUUAUGUAAACAGACUAGGAGGAAAAUGUGCAAUUUUGAGGGAUACCUAAUUUGCCUCUGGCUUUACACUCCACAAUGGGGUGUGUCGAUGAACUUGUUAAUGCCAUUUAAUCAAGCAGACUUUUGAUCACUUUAUUGUUCAUUUACUGACAUAAAGGGAAAAUGUGAAACACAGGAAGGGAAAAUAAACUGAGUUUUAUAAU